rnacentral:rRNA from 1 species
GACGAACGCUGGCGGCGUGCUUAACACAUGCAAGUCGAACGGAAAGGCCCUGCUUUUGUGGGGUGCUCGAGUGGCGCACGGGUGAGUAACACGUGAGUAACCUGCCCUUGACUUUGUGAUAACUUCAGGAAACUGGGGCUAAUACCGGAUAGGAGCUCCUGCUGCAUGGUGGUGGUUGGAAAGUUUCGGCGGUUGGGGCUGUACUCGCGGCUUAUCGGCUUGUUGGUGGGGUAGUGGCUUACCAAGGCUUUGACGGGUAGCCGGCCUGAGAGGGUGACCGGCCACAUUGGGACUGAGAUAGGGCCCAGAAUGCUACGGGAGGCAGAAGUGGGGAAUAUUGCACAAUGGGCGGAAGCCUGAGGCAGCAACGCCGGGUGCGGGAUGACGGCCUUCGGGUUGUAAACCGCUUUCGCCUGUGACGAAGAGUGAGUGACGGUAAUGGGUAAAGAAGCAACGGCUAACUACGUG